rnacentral:rRNA from 1 species
UACGUAGGGGGCAAGCGUUGUCCGGAUUCAUUGGGCGUAAAGAGCGUGUAGGCGGCCAGGUAGGUCGGUUGUGAAAACUGGAGGCUCAACCUUCAGACGUCGACCGAAACCAUCUGGCUAGAGUCCGGGAGAGGAGAGUGGAAUUCCUGGUGUAGCGGUGAAAUGCGCAGAUAUCAGGAAGAACACCAGUGGCGAAGGCGGUUGCCUGGAGCUUUGCUGACGCUGAGGCGCGAAAGCGUGGGGAGCGAUCCGG